UACGAAGGGGGCUAGCGUUGCUCGGAAUGACUGGGCGUAAAGGGCGCGUAGGCGGCUUGCACAGUCAGGCGUGAAAUUCCUGGGCUCAACCUGGGGACUGCGCUUGAGACGUGUGGGCUUGAGUGGGGAAGAGGGUCGUGGAAUUCCCAGUGUAGAGGUGAAAUUCGUAGAUAUUGGGAAGAACACCGGUGGCGAAGGCGGCGACCUGGUCCUUGACUGACGCUGAGGCGCGAAAGCCAGGGGAGCGAACGGG
rnacentral:rRNA from 1 species